GAUGAACGCUAGCUACAGGCUUAACACAUGCAAGUCGAGGGGUAACGAGAGGAAAGCUUGCUUUCCUUGUCGACGACCGGCGCACGGGUGAGUAACGCGUACCGAACCUGCCCCCAACUAGGGAAUAACCUUGCGAAAGUAAGACUAAUACCCUAUAAUUUCCACAGAUGACAUCCGAAGAGGAAUAAAGAAUUAACGGUUGGGGAUGGGGAUGCGUCUGAUUAGCUUGUUGGCGGGGUAAGGGCCCAACAAGGCAACGAUCAGUAGGUGUUAAGAGAGGAAGGUCACCCACGUAGGAACAGAGACACGGUCGAGACUCGUACGGGAGGCAGCAGUGAGGAAUAUUGGUCAAUGGGCGAAAGCCUGAACCAACCAAGUAGCGUGCAGGAUGACGGCCCUAUGGGUUGUAAACUUCUUUUAUACAGGAAUAAAGUUAGCCACGUGUGGUUAUUUGUAGGUACUGUAUGAAUAAGGACCGGCUAAUUCCGUGCCAGCAGCCGCCGUAA
rnacentral:rRNA from 1 species